UGGGGAAUAUUGGACAAUGGGCGCAAGCCUGAUCCAGCCAUGCCGCGUGUGUGAAGAAGGCCCUCGGGUUGUAAAGCACUUUAAGCGAGGAGGAAGGUCAUCAUACUAAUACUAUGGUGAAUUGACGUUACUCGCAGAAUAAGCACCGGCUAACUCUGUGCCAGCAGCCGCGGUAAUACAGAGGGUGCAAGCGUUAAUCGGAAUUACUGGGCGUAAAGCGCGCGUAGGCGGUUUGUUAAGUCGGAUGUGAAAUCCCUGGGCUCAACCUAGGCACUGCAUCCGAUACUGGCUGACUAGAGUGUGGGAGAGGAAGGUAGAAUUCCAGGUGUAGCGGUGAAAUGCGUAGAGAUCUGGAGGAAUACCGAUGGCGAAGGCAGCCUUCUGGCCUAACACUGACGCUGAGGUGCGAAAGCAUGGGGAGCAAACA
rnacentral:rRNA from 1 species